ACUGUUUCUUGCCAUUGCUGCAAAAAAAGAAAAUGUAAUAGGUACAAAUAAGCUAUAGGUACAAUUGCAUACAAAUUGCAUUGGCAAUAUAAUGUUUGUUUGCACCUUCACAGAGAUAAUCGACUCAUUCACUAUGAAUCAAAGGCUUUCGGAAAAUUACAGGAUUUCCAAUCUAUCAGCAACAUGACUUCAUUGGAUAUGGUUCUUCAACCCGAAGAAGAAAAAUAUGCUGCAAAACGCCUUUGGCGCAAAUUAUGGUCCUUUUCCGAUCGUGUCUUUCCGGUCAUCACCCUUCCUUUUUUUCCCGUUUCGUGGGCCUUAACGCAGUUGAGCAUGAAGUGAAACACAGGUGGAAAUUUUACUAUCGCUGCUAGUUAACACUUCACCAGUUGGUCGCCUGCAACUUUAUAUUCUUCCCAGAGGAGCGGCUUCUCCUGCUCAUUGUGCUGACUCAGUCACACUCAAGUAACUACAUCACUUAUAGGACUCCCAGAGCCACACCUACGAAAUGGAACCAGAAUACACCGUAUUUCCUGUUACAAUGUUAGUGCCAAAACCGACGACGAUGCCCUUCAAAACCAAUUGCUGGUUUAGGCGCUGACGAAGAAGCAUUCACGACCAUUCUUUGCCAUCGAAGCAGUGAUCAACGCGCAGCAAUCAAUCUUGCUUACAAAGACAGACACAGACAAGCUAUCGCAUGGAGUUGGAAUCGCAACUAAACACCGAGUUGAGUGGUUCAUUUGGAGACUUAAGGGUUGCCCUUUGCCUUCCGAAGACGGAAUUGGUGCGGCAAAUGUACAAAACAAUGAGUGGAGUAGAACUAGCGAAACGAGAUUGAUUGAAGUAUAUUUGACAACGAAAGCAAUCAGAAGGCACGCGAAAUGAGCGCUUUUUACU